AUCCAAAUGACGAAUCCCAAAUAGGACGAAAUGCGCAUCCUGAAU
rfam:Trichobilharzia regenti genome assembly, scaffold: TRE_scaffold0004149